GCUUACGGCCAUACCACCUGAACACGCCGAUCUCGUCCGAUCUCGGAAGCUAAGCAGGGUCGGGCCUGGUUAGUACUUGGAUGGGAGACGCCUGGGAAUACAGGUGCUGUAAGCU
rnacentral:rRNA from 1 species